UGUUAAUGUUAUCCAUUUGUACUUUUAAAAAUUAGUCUGGCUGAUAGAAUAAUUAGACACGUGUACCUUAUGCUGAUGUACAAAGACCAGUUUUUAACAACAAAAAUGGAUGAAAUUAUUGACA
rnacentral:pre_miRNA from 1 species